GUGCCUCCUGCCAUAUGGUUGCAUUUCAACUGGUGACAAAAUAGAUGGAAAGAUCUGUCACUUAUUUUAGUAUUCCAGAAUUCACAUUAUCAAGGCUAUUACACACUCUACUAUCAGGUAUUUUUAUAGACAUUCAGCAUUAGUUUCAAUCAAACAUAUGUUUAUUCAAGUUUCUGAUGUGAGAACUCUACAAAACCAUUUACAUUUAACCCUGUAAUUUAAAAAAGGAAAAGGCACAGAUUGCCAUCUGAGGAAGGAUAUGCUCAGCAUAUAAAUGCUUUUAUUUAUUACUAUUCAAAACCAGCCCUUUCCUCUUGUCAUUCUGGGAUAUUGAAAACAUAUCCCACACAACUUCCAUAUCCUCCUUCUUUCCUUUCUAUUCCUCAUAAGAAAACCAAUAGCAUAGACCUGGAAAAUAGCUCUCUAGUCAAAAAAAAAAAA
rnacentral:sRNA from 1 species